rnacentral:rRNA from 1 species
AACAUCGCCUCUUGACAAAACAUAAGAGGUCCAGCCUGCCCAGUGAUAGAAUUCAACGGCCGCGGUAUCCUAACCGCGCGAAGGUAGCAUAAUCACUUGUUCUUUAAAUAGGGACUAGUAUCAACGGCACCACGAGGGUUGCACUGUCUCCUCUCUCCAAUCAGUGAAACUGAUCUCCCCGUGAAGAAGCGGGGAUAAAAUAAUAAGACGAGAAGACCCCAUGGAGCUUUAAACCUCACAGCAACUCUGACACAUGAUUCAUUAUAAACAACAGAACUAUGCAAGCCGGUUUUGGGUUGGGGCGACCGCGGAGCAAAAAUUAACCUCCACGACGAAAAGAACUAAACCUUUAUCUAAGAGCCACCCCUCUAAGAAUUAGUAAACUAACGAAAAAUGACCCGAUUAUCGAUCAACGGACCAAGUUACCCUGGGGAUAACAGCGCAAUCUACUUCAAGAGCCCAUAUCGACAAGUAGGCUUACGACCUCGAUGUUGGAUCAGGGUAUCCCAGUGGUGCAGCCGCUACUAAAGGUUCGUUUGUUCAACGAUUAAAACCCUACGUGAUCUGAGUUCAGACCGGA